AAUGUCAUACCUCUUUUAGGUCAAGCAAAAGGAUAAUAAUGCUCUACAGUGUUGUGAUAUAUGACAAUUUUUGUUUUUCUUUAUUUUUAAGUGUCCCAUGACUUCAUAGAGAGUGGAUCAUACUCCUCAAACCAUGAAUGUAAAACAAGGAGCUUCAGCUUUAUCAUUGCUGUGAGAUUUACAGCACUUCCUUCCAUCGUCAGCUUGCUAAUAGGCAGUGGUUGAACUCCCUGGAGUCUAAACUAGGAAAUAUGAGCAGUAUGUAACUGCUAUGGCUGGAAUCGCAUUCCACUUCAGAAGCUUCUUAACAGCAUUCUCAGAUGUGUGAAUAUACAUUAGUGACCCAAGGGGAUUACUCCCUGGCACCAAGUUUACCUUUAUGAGGGGCCUGGAUGAUGAGACCUUCCCUCCCAUAAGCAGAAGUGUCUGGAAAGCCCAGCUCUCAAGUAAGCAGCUGCCUUGCCUGUAUGUCCACAGCAUCAGUGACUGCCAAGAUGACCAAAGUUUCCUGAAAGGUGAAGAAAAUGCUUGAUUCUGGAGCACCCUUCUAAUAGCAAUUCUCACCAACAAAGAGAAGGAGCUGACUUGCACCUGGAAAGAUGGAAGAUUUGCUUGCUGGAUGUGACAUGCAAGCACAGUAGGUACACUCUGGUAGUCUGGUAGGAUGUCAUUAUAAUGAGCCAGGAGGAUGACUGUGGUUCCUCUGGACUAUAAUACAACAGAGAGACGAGCUGGCAUAACACUGAGGUAAGCAGUGAGCACAGACUUCUGAUUUUUCCAGGUGCAAGCCAAUUACUUCUACUUAUCUUUCUUGGUGGGAACUGACUUUCAAAAUGU
rnacentral:lncRNA from 1 species